rnacentral:tRNA from 1 species
GGCAGGGUGGCGGAGUGGUCUAACGCGUUCGACUCGAAUCAUCAAUGAUACAAGUCAUCGAAUCUCUUCGGAGGCAUGGGUUCAAAUCCCAUCCCUGUCG